rnacentral:rRNA from 1 species
AGCGAACGCUGGCGGCAGGCUUAACACAUGCAAGUCGAGCGGACGUAGCAAUACGUCAGCGGCAGACGGGUGAGUAACGCGUGGGAACGUACCUUUUGGUUCGGAACAACACAGGGAAACUUGUGCUAAUACCGAAUAAGCCCUUACGGGGAAAGAUUUAUCGCCGAAAGAUCGGCCCGCGUCUGAUUAGCUAGUUGGUGGGGUAACGGCCCACCAAGGCGACGAUCAGUAGCUGGUCUGAGAGGAUGAUCAGCCACAUUGGGACUGAGACACGGCCCAAACUCCUACGGGAGGCAGCAGUGGGGAAUAUUGGACAAUGGGCGCAAGCCUGAUCCAGCCAUGCCGCGUGAGUGAUGAAGGCCCUAGGGUUGUAAAGCUCUUUUGUGCGGGAAGAUAAUGACGGUACCGCAAGAAUAAGCCCCGGCAAACUUCGUGCCAGCAGCCGCGGUAACAC